CGCCGCAAUGCAGGAGCGCCGGCGGCAGGCGGCCGGCUCACCGUCAGUGCCUCAUCGACCACCGCGCAGCACACCGCAUCGCAAUUUUCCACGCGUCCAACUUAUCACCUGACUCUGUUGUGUAUCCCAGGAGCUCCUCCCUCCGACUUGAUAUUAAGACUAGCAGCUUGAGAUCUAACGUGCCGUGAUGAUCGUGAAUUUCUGCGGUGUCCAUCUUGUGCCUUUGACGACGGUCUAGGAAACCAGCGUGUACCAAUUAUGCAACAUCACAUAUAAUUUGCUUACCUAUUCAGUUGUAAUGCAUCCUGAAACGCUACGAUACCAACCAGCAUAGGGGCCAGCCACAGCAUCAGGUCUUCAGGAUCCUAGUACUUACGUCUUGUCCAUGAUCUGGCUCAGUACAUAGAUUGAUAAAUCGUCGCAGAUUAGAGUAUUAGUAAACGUAUGGAUCAACGUUUUUGUUGAGACGAUCUAUAUAAUUUUAUCACAUUGCUAUCUUCUUCUGUUGCUACUACGGAUUUUGAUCGAAUUUAGUUUUAAAAUACUCCAGAUACUCCAGUCCGGUUGCGCUCACAACGACUGAAGGUGAAACGUCAGCUACAACAAAUAAGAAAGGGUCGUGCUAAGUCCCGUUAAUAUGUACCAGUACCUAUAUAGUUAUAUGUAGUCUAAAUACAGACAGAGAAACCGUCAAUAACCAUUAGGUGCUUAUUAUCACAAAUUUCCCAUGCCGCAACUAGUAUCUAUAUAUAUAAUAUAGUAUAGAUAGUGUAAUAAAUUAGCAGGUUCAUCUGUAUUUUAUAAUUUUCCUACAUCAUAUUAUUAUAUUUUCAUCUAAAUAUUGUUAUAAAUUGCUUCAUUGCCAUACUAUAUUUCUGUAUUUCAACGUGGUAUUUCAUGUCGGUGAAAAUAUUUAAAAAAGAGAUAUAAUAUUAUGCCGGCAAUAAACUAUCGCCAGACGAGAAUAAACAAACAUUGCGUAGUUUUUAUGAGAGCUUUUUUUUACCGCAAUGAAAAACCAGCAAUGUAUGCCGAACCGCCAAAGUUGUGCGAACUGUUUGCCGAUAGUGUAUAGCCGGCAUUAUCCUUUUAGUUCCGAUAGUGUAUAUUAACUCUGAUUUGUUGGAGACAACGCUGAUUUUCGUACACGUUCGUGCAACAAGAAUAAAAUCCGACAUAAUACAGCAGCCAUACGGAGACGUACGGAUUUGAAGAGCUGAAGACGAAGACAAAGACGUUAGGGUAGACCGCGUUGGCAGUGUGGUUAGCUGGUUGUGUUUCCACUACAACAGCCACUAGCGACACUGCCCCUGCGUGCGCCCAAUACUUGCACCGUGUGAAGACAGCAUCAUAUACUUGCAUCAAUAAUAGAAGAUUUUUCAGCCGCACGUAGAUUACUCCAUUUAUAUGUAACUUUAAAUGUAUAACUAAAUAAUUAUUUUAGAGUUUUAACGUAUUUUGUGAUUUAAUAAUUUUAUAUUUGAUAUUGAUAUGUUUUUAAUAAAUCACAAUGUGUCUUCACUAUUUUCACCGUUACCUUCCACCCUAACCCAUCAUACCAAUAGGUAACGGCUUUCCUUUGGUUUUGCCACUUGCCUUCCCCAUAUUCACACACGAGAUGAUCUACUACUAAGCAGUAGGUGAACAUACGAUUGUAGGCGAUGAGGCGUGCAUGGCGGAACAAUAAUAUUGCAGCGUGCAGCGGGGUCCGUUGUGUCCUUGUGUUGCAAUUAAAACCUGUGGCUCUUGGCCAUAGGUACCUACUCAAGCGCAACCGCAACAGAAUAUAACUCCAUACAUAAUACGCGGUUCAAUAUUACAAGAACAGAAUUUAGAACCCUACAAGUUGCAGGCACACAUAUUUCAUAAAUUCUGCUUCCAAACUCCAUUCCGCUUCUAUGCUCCAUGAUAUAAAUAUAAAUCCUACUUUGGGGGCAAGUUUCAGUUUGAACAUGACGUAGUGACCAGUCAGGACUCAUUGUGUGUAGAAGAUUAACUUUCAAUACCAUGGAGUUAGUAAGUACCUACCUACUUUGUACGGAGUACCUACUAAUUCCAUGCUCAAUACAUAAAUUAAAACUAGUACCACAUACAAUACUCGUUUUAUUAAUAACCUCUUAAAUCGUGUCACUGGCAAGCUAAUGACAUAAAAUUGCAUUACGCGUGUAGUUUAUGGGACAAACGCCAAAUGUUUGCUUGUAUGAACGCGUGUUUGACUACACAUACUGAGCUAGGUACCUACCUACUUUAAAUUGUUGUUUACUAGCUGCAUCUACUGCUACCUGUCGAUAUAUGCAAAUAGAAGAGUAGGAUAGGUAUGCAUGUAUUACACAUGUAUAUACAUGAGAAAUUAAAAAUUAUUAGUCAUGAGCUUUGUUACUUGUUCAAAAUAAACUAUCAACUGCUCGAUAUCAAUAAAUAAUAAAUUAUUUACGAGUUAAAUCGUAACACUAUUUUUUCUACAAUUUCACGACAUGGUCUGAUAACUAGGGAUGCCCAUGGAUUUAGAACCUACUAACUUGACACGAUUAAGUUUUUUACCUAAAUGUCAUUUUUGACACAAGCUUUUAUUGUUGUCAAAAAGAUCUUAUAGCAUUCUGCUAUGUGACAUAAAAUCAUGUCCGUGCAAUAAACCUCGUCUGGAGCCGUUCCUGGGUGCACCAUCAGGUCAUGCUGAUCAUAAUAAUGUAUUGUCAUACAAACUCAAUCGGUUGAAGAUAUCUUCUUUAAAAUUGAGUUACAAGAAUCCACCCGAAUAGACAUAGGAACAUAAAGUAACCGGUAAAACUCUCAAAUGAGAGAGAGACCAGGGGGCUUACCAUCAUCUCUUAACGCGAUCCAUUUUACGACCUAAACUGAACUGCAUCGCAAAUUCGUACCAUCGACUUAAUUUUUUAUAUGAAUACGAUUCAGUUUAGGUUCCUAAAUUGAACUGAGUUGCAUUGGAAUCGUUCUGUAAAAGUUCAUGGUAGGCCUGCUGAUCUGAAAAGGAUCUUGAGACUGAAGCCCAUUAUUCUAUAGUGUGAGUGUCGCCUAACUCAACAGACGCCGAAUUUGUAUGUGAGCUCUCUAUUAUCUAUCGCAAGGAAACACCAUGAAUGUAGAUCUAAAUUGACAAGUUUGGUGAACUACUGAUAGUCUGUAGAUGGCAUAAAUGUGUCACAUUGUUUUCCAGACGCCUGAAGGGAUAUGACGUGACAUACGAAUACCGCUAUUUGGAAAUAGUACAUACACAAUGAACUUUAUUUGCUAAGACAGACAAACAUUCUGAUAAUUUACAUGUAUCUGCUUCCUAAAACACUUGUAUAACACAUUUUUUAUUUAUUGUACAUAUUUUUUUUUAAUGUUCCUACAUGAUUCAAUCGAUGUCAUGACAAUAAAUAAAAUUAUAA